GUGCAGCGGCUUGGACCCGAGCAAUAACAUAGGAAAAUAAAUAAAAACAUAUUUUAGGAACUAUAAGUACAAAUGAAUAUACUGAGAAAUAUUUUGUCCCCCGUUUCAUUAGCAAGAAAACAUUUUAGUAGGAUAUCAUCUUCACUAUGACUUUCAUGUGCGAAUCAUUCCAUUUAUUAUUUUCAUUAUCGAUGUAAUUUUCCUUUAAAAGGUACAUCGCCAUAGAAUAUAAAUCUUAAUAUGUAAGGUGCAACACUAUCUUGAUGGAGUGCAAGUAAAGUCUUUAAUCGAUAAC
rnacentral:lncRNA from 1 species